rnacentral:rRNA from 1 species
AGAGUUUGAUCAUGGCUCAGAUUGAACGNCUGGCGGAAUGCUUUACACACGCAAGUCGAACGGCAGCACGGGGGCAACCCUGGUGGCGAGUGGCGAACGGGUGAGUAAUACAUCGGAACGUGCCCAGUCGUGGGGGAUAACUACGCGAAAGCGUAGCUAAUACCGCACACGAUCUACGGAUGAAAGCGGGGGAUCGCAAGACCUCGCGCGAUUGGAGCGGCCGAUGGCAGAUUAGGUAGUUGGUGGGGUAAAGGCUCACCAAGCCUGCGAUCUGUAGCUGGUCUGAGAGGACGACCAGCCACACUGGGACUGAGACACGGCCCAGACUCCUACGGGAGGCAGCAGUGGGGAAUAUUGGACAAUGGGCGCAAGCCUGAUCCAGCCAUGCCGCGUGUGUGAAGAAGGCCUUCGGGUUGUAAAGCACUUUUGUUGGGGAAGAAACCGGCCGGAUUAAUACUUCGGUUGAAUGACGGUACCCAAAGAAUAAGCACCGGCUAACUUCGUGCCAGCAGCCGCGGUAAUACGAAGGGUGCAAGCGUUACUCGGAAUUACUGGGCGUAAAGCGUGCGUAGGCGGU